rnacentral:rRNA from 1 species
CCUACGGGCGGCAGCAGUGGGGAAUAUUGGACAAUGGGGGCAACCCUGAUCCAGCCAUGCCGCGUGUGUGAAGAAGGCCCUCGGGUUGUAAAGCACUUUCAGUGAGGAAGAACGCCUGGUGGUUAAUACCCAUCAGGAAAGACAUCACUCACAGAAGAAGCACCGGCUAACUCCGUGCCAGCAGCCGCGGUAAUACGGAGGGUGCGAGCGUUAAUCGGAAUUACUGGGCGUAAAGCGCGCGUAGGUGGCUUGAUAAGCCGGUUGUGAAAGCCCCGGGCUCAACCUGGGAACGGCAUCCGGAACUGUCAAGCUGGAGUGCAGGAGAGGAAGGUAGAAUUCCCGGUGUAGCGGUGAAAUGCGUAGAGAUCGGGAGGAAUACCAGUGGCGAAGGCGGCCUUCUGGACUGACACUGACACUGAGGUGCGAAAGCGUGGGUAGCAAACAGGAUUAGAUACCCCAGUAGUC